rnacentral:rRNA from 1 species
CCUACGGGUGGCAGCAGUGAGGAAUAUUGGUCAAUGGACGAGAGUCUGAACCAGCCAAGUAGCGUGAAGGAUGACUGCCCUAUGGGUUGUAAACUUCUUUUAUAAAGGAAUAAAACGAGGCACGUGUGCCUUUUUGCAUGUACUUUAUGAAUAAGGAUCGGCUAACGCCGUGCCAGCAGCCGCGGUAAUACGGAGGAUCCGAGCGUUAUCCGGAUUUAUUGGGUUUAACGGGAGCGUAGAUGGGUUGGUAAGUCAGUUGUGAAAGUUUACGGUUCAACCGUACAGUUGCAAUUGAUACUGGCAGUCGUGAGUACAGAUGAGGUAGGCGGAAUUCGUGGUGUAGCGGUGAAAUGCUUAGAGAUAACGAAGAACCCCGAUUGCGAAGGCAGCUUACUAAACUGUGACUGACAUUGAUGCUCGAAAGUGUGGGUAUCAAACAGGAUUAGAUACCCGUGUAGUC